rnacentral:rRNA from 1 species
UGGGGAAUAUUGGACAAUGGGCGCAAGCCUGAUCCAGCCAUGCCGCGUGAGUGAUGAAGGUCUUAGGAUUGUAAAGCUCUUUCACCGGGGACGAUAAUGACGGUACCCGGAGAAGAAGCCCCGGCUAACUUCGUGCCAGCAGCCGCGGUAAUACGAAGGGGGCUAGCGUUGUUCGGAAUUACUGGGCGUAAAGCGCACGUAGGCGGAUAUUUAAGUCAGGGGUGAAAUCCCGGGGCUCAACCCCGGAACGGCCUUUGAUACUGGGUAUCUUGAGUGUGGUAGAGGUGAGUGGAAUUGCGAGUGUAGAGGUGAAAUUCGUAGAUAUUCGCAGGAACACCAGUGGCGAAGGCGGCUCACUGGACCACAACUGACGCUGAGGUGCGAAAGCGUGGGGAGCAAA